GGAUGCGACUCGUCGGUGCUGCUUGCCGACACUGCCAACUUCACUGGUGAGCAGGCGUUCCCCAACGUCAACUCCAUCAGGGGACUCGACGUCAUCGACGGGAUCAAGGCGCAGGUCGAGGCCAUCUGCGCACAGACCGUCUCCUGUGCCGACAUCCUCGCCGUCGCCGCCCGGGACUCCAUCGUCGCCCUAGGAGGGGCGUCGUAUACGGUUCCGUUGGGGAGAAGGGACUCCACCAGCGCGAGCCUCUCAGAGGCAAACAGGGACCUCCCUCCGCCAACCUCCGACCUCGCUGAUCUCGUCGGCAACUUCUCCAGGAAAGGGCUCAGCGUAACCGACAUGGUUGCACUGUCAGGAGCCCACACGAUCGGGCGGGCAUGCACCAACUUCAGGAGCCGGGUCUACGGCGAGACCAACAUCAACGCGGCGUACGCGGCGUCGCUACAGGGUAACUGCCCGCAGUCCGGCGGCGACGGUAACCUCACACCGCUCGAAGUGUCCACCCCAAAUGCCUUGAACAACGCCUACUACGGCAACCUGGUCUCGCAGCGCGGCCUCCUCCACUCCGACCAGCAGCUCCUCAACGGCGGCUCCACCGACGCUCUCGUUCGCACCUACGCGUCCAGCGCCGCGCAGUUCAGCGCCGACUUCUCCUCGGCCAUGGUGAACAUGGGCAACAUAGGCGUGCUCACGGGCGCGCAGGGGCAGGUUAGGCUAAACUGCGCCAAGGUGAACUGA
rnacentral:rRNA from 1 species